rnacentral:piRNA from 1 species
UUAGUAGUAAAUUAAGAAUAGAGAG